rnacentral:lncRNA from 1 species
CCCUAUUUGCACAAAUAAAACUCCCACAUAAAAUCUCAAAAUUUUACAAACACAAAAUUUACUAUUAAAUGAAUACCAAUUAUUGUUCUUUCCUUUAAAAAAUAGCCCUUAUCAAUUUUAUUUUAAAAAGGUGUGUAAUAGGCCAAUUUUACCCGAGCCCAAGACCAUAUAAAAAAUAAAACCAAAACAAAUAAACAAAGUCCAAGUCCAUUACAAUUACAAAGCCCAAAAAAUUAAAAAAACCCUACUGGCCCAAGUGGCCUACAACUUAAACUCAAUUUCAGUAAAACUGAAACCCUAAUCUAGCCCCUCUCUGCACGCUUUUGCCACCGCCACCAUCAGCCCCUGUCACCACCUGCAAAGAAGAAGCAACACGCAAAGAACAGUAGAAAUAAUAGAAAAAACUUGUAAAAAUCGGCUAUAAAGGCCGAAUCUAAAUGUAUUUGAAAUGGGGGGGUUCUUUUAUUUUCAAAAAGAUUGAAUACAUAAAAGAAAAAAAGACUCGACUUUUAUAUAUUUUUCAAGGUGAUUUUCGUUUGAUUUCGUUUUUUCUUUCACGUUAAGAUUUAUUAUUUAUUUUAUCUACGAAUAUAAAAAAAAAGGGGGAGAGGAAAAGAAACUUACCUACGUCGGCCGAUCUACUCGCCGUCGACGGCUACGCCGAAAAAGGAGAAGAAACGAAAUGUUUCUUCGUUGCUCCGCCGGAUUGGGCCGGGUUUUGGGGGGUUUUGGCCUCGGAUCCUUGCUCCACGUGUGAAGGGCUUCGAAAGGGGUUUCUUUUUGUUUUCUCGGCCACCGCAGAUGGCGGCGCCGUCACUGGCGGCCGACACAACUGCCGAUGGCCAGAUCUUUGGCUAGAGCCCGGAGGGGAAAGAGAGGGUUGAGAGAAUUUUGGGAUUUUUUUUUGAGAAAGAAAAAAAAUUGAGUUUUUAGAAAAAAAAAUUGGGUUUAAAUAAGAAAGUAAAACGGCGCUGUUUUGGGUUAGGAACCCAGGCGCCAAAACGAAGCCGUUUAGGGCCUAUCCGCAUGCGACCCAACGCGCUCCAGGGGGAUCCGCGUGUUUUCUCCUUCUGGGUUAUUUACACCCCUGGUCCUUCCUCUUUUUAGCUAGUUUGCAAUUCAGUUCUUUUAUUUCUUUAAAUUUACCCUGUGAUUUUAUUGGCUUUUCAUUUUAAUCCCUAAGCAGACGAUGCCGUUCUGGGAAAUGGGAAUAAUUUCCCAAUGACCCCUCCUUCUUUAAGCGCAUUAAUUUUCAGUCCCAUUUCGAUUUUAUCAUUAAAUUUAUUAAGAAUUUUGCAUCUAAUUUCAUUUUGAUUUCAAUAUAGUCCUUUGAUUAAUUUAUUUUAUUAUUUGUCUAUUAAUUUGUCUAUUAUUCUUCAUUUUUCUUUAAGAUAAUAUUAUUUUUAUUUUUAUAUCCACUAUUUAUCUUUUUAUAUCUAAAUUUUAAUAUUUCUUUUACUAAUUUAUUUUUAUUUCAUUUACUUUUAUAAUCCUUAAAUUUAGUUUUAUGUAUAUGUGUUCUAUUUACUUAUUUAUUAUCUUAUUUUUAUAAUAUUAUUACUAUUACUAUUAUUAUUAUCAUUAUUAUUAUCAUUAUUUUUUAAAACUAUUUUACCUAAUAUUUAUUUAUUUGCUUACUCUCAUUUUUUUUAAAUUCAAUGUCUUUUAGUUUUUAUUUGUUUAUUUAUUAUUGCUUUUUAUUUAAUUAGCUUGUUUUAUUUUUUUAUUUAUCUUAUCUUUAUUUUUGCCAUUAUUAUCGUUAUUUAUAUUAUCGCAUUCAUUAUUAUUAUUUGGUUAUACAUAUUGGUAUCAGAUUAUUACUAUUAUAUCUUUUAUAUUUUAUUCAGCAUAUUAUACCAUUAUCGCUACGAAUUUAUGUCGCACUAUCAUUAUUCGCUCAGCAUGACAUUUUUAACCUUUUAACCGUUUUUAUACCAACCCGAAUGAAUUAAGUACACGACAUUUUAAAUGUUAUUAGUUUUCGCACAAUGCAUAAAAAAGAGAUUUUUUAAACCAAGAUUAAUUUUCAUUAUUUUGGAAUUAGAAAAAUCGUGUUCUAAGUUACGGAAUAUGAUUUCUUUCUAAAAUCAAGAUAAUCAAAUAUAUUUUAAAACAGCGUUUAUUCUCGUAUCGAGAAUUUAAAACAUUGUGUCUUAACUUACGGGACAUAAUUCUCUUUCUCAAUUAACGUGAAAUAUGCUCAUUUCUUGAAAAAUUAAGCGAUAUUUUAACAAAGGAUCGUAUUUUAAAUUCUCAAUUUUCGACACUAAGACAUUAAUUAAUCAACUAGGUACCAAUUUUGGGCGUUACGAGGGUGCUAAUCCUUCCUCGUACGUAAUCGACUCCCGAACCCGAUUUUCUGAAUUUCGCAGACCAAAAGCGCUGUUUUAAUAAAUCCAAACCGUUUAUUAAAAACAACCAUUUUUCGAGGUGAUCCGAUCCCGCCUCAUCAAAAAAGGAUUGGUGGCGACUCCCGUAUCCGUUUUUAUUUUCAAAAUUAAAGUCGACGACCCUUUUAUCAAAAAAAAUGGUUUUGACCAGGUGUAUAUACAAAAUUAUUCCCUGCAAUAAACUUUAAUUUUUUUCAUUUUCCUCCACACUAGUGAAUGAUGAGGUGGCACAAUGGUUUCUAAUGGCAAAUAGACGAGUGGCACAAAUACCAUUUGACACUAUCACGUCAUUAUUAAGUGAAAUAAUAGAAAAUUAUAAAUUAUAAACAAUUAAAAUUUCAUAAUAUUAAAAAUAAAAAUAGAAAAUUACUUUUCUAGUAAAUUUUUAUUCUCUAUAGUAUAAAUAAUUUUUAAAGUUUUCUAUGAUUUUUAUAUUAUAAAAACUCAUAUGGAAAUUUUAAAAAUUUUAAAAUAUUUCCAAAUAUUAUAUAUUUUAAUUCUUUUAGAUUUUUUUAUUUUUU